CCAGAGAUGGCGGGCCCCCGGGCCCCCGUCCCCAACCCUUUGUUGACAAACCUCUUUGCCUCGGGGGCAGAGCGGCCCCGCCGCCGCCGCCCCCGGAGGACCACCGAACUCUGUCUCUGUACGUCGGAGUCUUUGAUUAAAUGAAUGA
rnacentral:misc_RNA from 1 species